rnacentral:rRNA from 1 species
UCUCCGGAUUGGCUUUGGCGCGCCGGCAACGGCAUGCUAUUGCUGAAAAGUUGAUCAAACUUGGUCAUUUAGAGGAAGUAAAAGUCGUAACAAGGUUUCCGUAGGUGAACCUGCGGAAGGAUCAUUAUUGAAAUAAACCUGAUGGGUUGCUGCUGGCUCUCUCGGGAGCAUGUGCACACUUGUCAUCUUUAUAUCUCCACCUGUGCACCUUUUGUAGAUCUGGAUAUCUUUCUGAAUGCCUGCAUUCAGGUUUGAGGAUUGACUUGUCUUUCCUUACAUUUCCAGGCCUAUGUUUCUUCAUAUACACCAUGUAUGUUAUAGAAUGUAAUGAAAAGGGCCUUUGUGCCUACAAACUUAUACAACUUUCAGCAACGGAUCUCUUGGCUCUCGCAUCGAUGAAGAACGCAGCGAAAUGCGAUAAGUAAUGUGAAUUGCAGAAUUCAGUGAAUCAUCGAAUCUUUGAACGCACCUUGCGCUCCUUGGUAUUCCGAGGAGCAUGCCUGUUUGAGUGUCAUUAAUAUAUCAACCUCCUCAGGUUUUUACUUGUCGAGUGUUUGGAUGUGGGGGUUUUUUUUGCUGGUCUCUUUUGAGAUCGGCUCCCCUGAAAUGCAUUAGCGGAACAAUUUGUUGACCCGUUCAUUGGUGUGAUAACUAUCUACGCUAUUGACGUGAAGCAGGUUCAGCUUCUAACAGUCCAUUAACUUGGACAAAUUUUCAUUAAUGUGACCUCAAAUCAGGUAGGACUACCCGCUGAACUUAAGCAUAUCAAUAAGCGGAGGAAAAGAAACUAACAAGGAUUCCCCUAGUAACUGCGAGUGAAGCGGGAAAAGCUCAAAUUUAAAAUCUGGCAGUCUUUGGCUGUC